rnacentral:tmRNA from 1 species
GGGGCUGAUUCUGGAUUCGACGGGAUUUGCGAAACCCAAGGUGCAUGCCGAGGGGCGGCUGGCCUCGUAAAAAGCCGCAAAAAAUAGUCGCAAACGACGAAAACUACGCUUUAGCAGCUUAAUAACCUGCUUAGAGCCCUCUCUCCCUAGCCUCCGCUCUUAGGACGGGGAUCAAGAGAGGUCAAACCCAAAAGAGAUCGCGUGGAAGCCCUGCCUGGGGUUGAAGCGUUAAAACUUAAUCAGGCUAGUUUGUUAGUGGCGUGUCCGUCCGCAGCUGGCAAGCGAAUGUAAAGACUGACUAAGCAUGUAGUACCGAGGACGUAGGAAUUUCGGACGCGGGUUCAACUCCCGCCAGCUCCACCA